GUGUCAGCCGCCGCGGUAAUACGGAGGGUGCAAGCGUUGUCCGGAAUCACUGGGUGUAAAGGGUGUGUAGGCGGGGCUGUAAGUCAGAGGUGAAAUCCCACGGCUCAACCGUGGAACUGCCUUUGAUACUGCAGCUCUUGAGUCCCGGAGAGGUGGCUGGAAUUCGUGGUGUAGCGGUGAAAUGCGUAGAUAUCACGAGGAACACCAGAGGUGUAGACGGGUCACUGGACGGGUACUGACGCUGAGGCACGAAAGCGUGGGGAGCAAACAGGAUUAGAUACCCGGGUAGUCCUGGCCGUAAACGAUGGAUGCUAGAGGUGGGCGGGGAGACCCGUCCGUGUCGCAAGCUAACGCGUUAAGCAUCCCGCCUGGGGAGUACGGCCGCAAGGUUAAAACUCAAAGGAAUUGACGGGG
rnacentral:rRNA from 1 species